GGAAAAGUCGGGCAAUUUUUCUUUCUGUUGGAAUUUUUUUUUGGCGGGAAAUUGGGGUUAGGAAGAAAGUUGGAAGAGGAAAAACAUCGUGAAAAUGUUCACUUACGUCAAUUUUUAGUUGAAAUGUUAAUGUAUUCAAGUACAAUGAUUCGUAUUAUUCGUCAUAUUACGAUUCAAUUUAUUUUAAUGGGGUAACAAUUGUGGAAUAUAUUUACCUUAAUUGAUUUUGGCGAUUAAUGAGCACUUGUCGCUCUGUGAUGGUGAGAGGGAAAUUUUACGUUUUUUUCGAAAGAUCGUGGGGGGUAGAAUGAAAGUAAUAAUGGCUCACAUAUAGUUUAAUUUAUGUUGAAAUCAACAAACAAGUGUCAUAAAUACCCAUUGAAAAAAGACAAUAAAGUUGGAGUCUUUCGACUAGCGAAUUAUCUAAAAGUCAGUUUCAUUUAUUUCAAUAUUAAUGUAGUAUGAGUGGGUUAAAUAAUUUGACUCUAUAGAUGUUCGGUCUGAUAUAAAAAUUGUAUGUCGUACAUAAUACUUUUUAUCAUUAGGCAGCCUUUGUACAUCAAUCGAUAUAAACCUUAACGCUACAAUGUAAACAUAAAAAAGCAGCUGAUUUUUUUGGCAUUCUUAGACAUAAAUUUUCUUUUAAAAAGUUCUAAACAAAGUCACAACUUAAAAUUGUUUGUUGUACAUUCUUCAGUGACUUACUUAAGCACAGUGAGUCUACUAUGUCAGUUUUAACACAAAAUCGUCUUAUUUUUGUUUUUUUUUUUAAUUUUGAUUGCAUUUUUUCUAUAUAUAGAAUUGUCAAAAGCUCCUCCAUGACUUCAAAGUCACUUUCUAUUACUUGAGUUAUGUCUGUGUACUGAUAAUUGAUCUUCGAUAAUUUUUUAGAUUUUAAUCUUCGAAUUCUCUUCUUGAUGAAUAAAAAAACCGACGCAAUUU